rnacentral:rRNA from 1 species
UACAGAGGUCCCAAGCGUUGUUCGGAUUCAUUGGGCGUAAAGGGUGCGUAGGCGGCGCGGUAAGUCGGGUGUGAAAUCUCGGAGCUUAACUCCGAAACUGCAUUCGAUACUGCCGUGCUUGAGGACUGGAGAGGAGACUGGAAUUUACGGUGUAGCGGUGAAAUGCGUAGAUAUCGUCAAGAACACCGAUAGUGAAGACAGCUUACUAGGCUUAUACUGACGCUGAGGCACGAAAGUGUGGGGAUCAAACAGG